CCGGGAGAGGAUAGACAGGAAAGAAAGACAUUUGCACAUAAAAGUGGGAUCCCGGUUCCCUGUGCAGCCACAUAAACUGUUGUCCUGGCACAGGAAAGUGUUGAUAGAGAUGAGUCAUAAAAGAAAAGAAAUUUUCAGUUCAGAAAAUCCUAACACAGCAAGGAAGAAUAUUUUUUCAAAGGCAUGAAGAUCCAUAAGGCACCUAACUGACGUCUUUGAAAAUCUGUCCUGAAUGCAUGCUACGUGGUUGACAUUACUUCCAUCACAGGAAACAUUUUCUUUUCCGAAUUUUUAAAUCCAGCUAAAGACUAAUUUUUUACCCACAGAAAAGACUGUGGUUGUGUACUGACUUUGUGAGCACAUUUUGCAAACAUAUCAACUGCCUUUUUCUGAAAGAAUAGCCUUCUCUAUCAGUUUCAGCUGAAAGCCUUCAGUCCUGGAGUUUAAGAUUAUAUCAUCUUUAUUUUGCCUUUACAGACAUACAUCUUAGGGUGUACUGAGGAGCAGAUUCAAAUCCACUGUAUUUACAGUGGGAAGAAGAUGCUGCAAUGUUAUUUUGCAUCGGUAAUAGUCACUUACAGCACAUUACAUCUUCUGUGCUGCCCUUUUCUUUGAUAUUCUAUAAGCAUAAUAAAAAAAAUAGUUUCAUAAAUAUAAAGCAGAGAAAUUUUUUAGAGAUCUGCAAAGCUUCUGGGAAAGAAGUAGGCUUGUACAAAAGAUCAUUCAUUUACUACUAGAACUCUGUGUUUGGUCAUUGAAUAGCAGCCAGCGAAGCGGGUUGAAUUUUUUCUGGCUGUUUUGCAUACUAAGAACAACAUAAUAAUCAUAAUGUGAAGAUUUUUCACUAUUUUGCUUCUGAAGCUGUGAAACUUCACAUUGCCCUCUUGUGUAUUAUUGAAAAGAAUUCAAGAUACUUUUUGUGAUAAUUUUGACAAACAGUAUUAUUUCUGAAGAACCCAAAUUUCAUGAACUGAUUGUAUGAAACCUCCUCACACAUGUGAGUGUAAAUGUGUCUAUCUAUACUUGCAUAUAUUUCUUCACAAAUGUUAUCAAGAUGUUUUUGAAAAUAAUAUGUAGAGGCACAGUAGAAUAUUUUCUAAUGAAUUUAAUGCCACUUAAGGAUCUCAUGGUGAUUUGACUUGACACCAAGGCCUAUAGAGAAAGUGAGCCACACUUUUGUGUGAGCAAUGGAGGCAUUUCCACUCUGUAAGACCCGUUGGCUUCACCUGUAGUGAGAAAUCAACACUAUGAGAGGAACUGUCAUUGAAAGCUGCAAUUGCAACGUUAAAAGUAAGUUUCAGGUACAACACAGCUUUUAGUAGUAAUAUUUUAU